rnacentral:rRNA from 1 species
CAAUAGCGUAUAUUAAAGUUGUUGCGGUAAAAAAGCUCGUAGUUGGAUUUCUGCUGAGGAUGGGCGGUCCGCUCACUGAGCGUGUAUCUGCUUCAGCCUUGGCACCCUCUCGUUAAUCGUUUCUGCGCUUGAUUGCGUGGGGCGGGUGGCGGGACUUUUACUUUGAGGAAAUUAGAGUGUUCACGGCAGGCUAUCGCCAGAAUACAUUAGCAUGGAAUAAUACUAUAGGAUCUUGGUCCUAUUUUGUUGGUUUCUAGGAUUAAGAUAAUGAUUAAUAGGGACAAUUGGGGGCAUUCGUACCAACACGUCAGAGGUGGAAUUCUUGGAUUGUGUUGCGACGAACUACUGCGAAAGCAUUUGCCAAGGAUGUUUUCAUUGA